CCCCCCCCACCACCACCCCACUCCACCACUGGCAGCCAGCAUGAACUUGUCUGCUGCAGGCCUGGCCAGUGCCUGGGGAGAGGGAAGGGCACAGGACGGGUCGCCCCAGGAGGGAAGGGAACUCAUCUUUGCCGGAGGCCAGGCUCGCAUCCAUCCUCUCCGGGGGCAGGUUCUGCUGUAUCCACAUCAUACCGAUGAGGAAACAGGCUCAGAGGAGGGAAGUCACUUUCCUAAGGCCACACAGCCGACAAGAGCAGAGCUGGAGUUUGAAUCCAGUUCCACGGGCUCAGCAGCCAUCUCUUUGCAGGGGCUCAGGCCAAGGCUAUGUGCCUCUUGAAUGAAGGGAUGGAUGGAUGGACGAAUGGAAAACGGGGAGAGGAGUCCUGUAGGAAGCCCUCUCGCUAACACAGAGGCCUGAUGGAUGAUGGGAAGCUCCUCCUCCUGCUGUUGAGAACUCCAGCCCGCACUUUGCCUCCAACCCGAUCUUGCAGGACCCAGCUCCCUUGCGUCCUGGCAUCAAACGUCUGUUUGAUCAGCUUUCCAUCCAUUUUCGGAAAAGCAUGCAGAAAUUCCCUGGCCAGGGAUCGAACUCACACCAGAGCAGUGACAAUGGCAGAUCCAUAACCACUAGGCCACCUGGGAACUCCUACAAAGCAUUUUUUCAGCCGUCAUUUCCCUCGAGCACGGAACCCGUGGAGUGGCAGCUCCCCAUGUUUUCAGAGAAGGGAGCCUGGAAUCAGAGAAGCUGUGCCAAGUUCAUGAGUAACGGUCGAGGAGGCUCACAGGUUGAGCAACAGAAAGGCGAGGACAGAGAAGAUGCAGAGAGCAAGGGCAGCCUGCCAAGGUCAACGAUGCUUAAAGGGCCACCAGCCAGCAUCACAGCUCCAGCUCACCCCACCCUCUCUGAGAAAGCCUUACUGAACGGGGCGGAAUUGUGUUCCCCAGAAGAUAUAUUCAAGGACUAGCCCCCAUCAAUGUGACUUCAUUUGGAAAUAGGGUCUUUGCAGCUAUAAUUAGUUCCUUUCAUCCCGAGAUGAAAUCAUCUCAGAUUUAAGGUGGACCCUAAAUCCAAUGGCUGGUGUCCUUGUAAGAAGAAAAGGGGACACACAGUGGCGGGGAAGGAAGACCGUACGAAGGGGAGGCUGAGACUCGGGUGAUGUAGUUAGAAGCCAAGGGACAGGGGGCCACCAGAAGCUGGGAGAGAAAAGGAAGCAAUGUCCCGGACCACCAGCAGGACACCUCGAUUUCGGACUGCUGCCCUCUAGAACUGCGAGAGAAUAAAUGCCUGUGGUUCCAAGCCCCCAGGGUGUGGUACUUUGUUUCAGCAGCUUCCGGAAACCAAGCAAGGAUCGUUAGAAAGAAUGGUGCAUCUCCUUCAGAGGAGGCAGGCGCCUAGUUUUAAACACCUCUGAAGCCACUUGGGAGCGAUCCUUCUACGACACAGAAUUGUGGGCAGGAAAUAAUGCUUUUAUUGUAAAACCCUGUAACCUAAUGAAAAGUCUGGAAAAUAGAAAAAAAGCAUCUUCUGUUCUCCCA